CCCUCAGGCUUCCUGCAGCAACCAUCAGCUCUCACGACCUACUGGUCAACAAGAAAGCAUUGAACACCAUUUACCUAAAAAAAGAAAAAAAAAAAGAGUAUAUGUAUUUUUGGUGCAAAUAAAAACGUGUGAACAGUAGAGGCUCUGUUGGAGUUUGGCGGGAAACAGGAAAUUAUAUGGUAAAAAAAAAGGGGGGGGAAAUUACCCAUUUUUUUUCCCCCUCUUUGCACAAUUAUUUGGCUGUAGUAAAAGCGAAAGUAAAAGUUUAGGGCAAGGAAUGCAUGCCCACUGGAGGGGACGUGCUGGCGGAACAGGGACCGGGGUGUGUGGUGCGGGGGGAUUCUGAACAGCCCAGGGGAGAGCUGUGAUCUUUCUGGAUCCCAAAGUGGGAUGUACUGCGCAAGGGAGUGUCCAUCAAACUCGGGGCCAGAGCGGUCAUUUGUUGUUUUUCUCAGCGAGAAAGCACCCAGAGAGGAAUGCUUGCUUUGAGGUUCCUGGAAAGAGUAACACAGAGGAAGAGCAGUUCCGAGAACUAAGAAGAUUCCAUUUGGCUCUCCCUGUGGCCCCAGUAAGGAAGAUGUUACCAGUUCCAUUCUGCAGUCGUGAAACUGGAAAACAAAACAGAACAAUGAAACGGAUGAUAGUCAUGCCGUGGCCCCUUCUUCCCCUGGGAGACCUAGAACCAGCACCUGCUAUAUACCGGACCUAACGCUACUUCUACCUCAAAACUGAACUGUUCCUUUGGAGCUAUUUGAAUGCUAACUACUGACCAGAUAUUUGACCAUGUUAAGGAAUUAUUGUUUCUUUCUGUUUUUUGUUGUUGUUUGUUGUUUCUUCUCUCUCUCUCUCUCUCUCUCUCUCUCUUUUUUUUUUUUUUUUGGUAUGAUACUGAUAUUGUGAUAAUGUUAACAGUAUUUCAAUUUUGGAGCUUUGUCCUAAAAUAUGCACACAUGAAAUAUGAAAAAGGUUUUGGAUUUGCUUCACAAUAGUUCAGUUUGGGGGGGCGAUAGAUGAAACCAGAUUGGUUUUAGGACGAUAAUUGUUGAAGCUGGUUAUGAACAUAGAAGGGUUUAUUAUAUGAUUGCCUUCGGUUUUGCAUGUUUAAACAUUUUCCUAAUAAAGAGUAAAAAGUAA